UGGGGAUCGUGCUUGGCUUACGGUUCAAGUUGAACUGAGGAAAGUCCACCCACACUUCGAAAGAAGAAGCGGCCGCUCCCGCCAGGGAGUUCCAGCGAUGGAAGUAAACCGCUCAGAAACGCUACCGGCUUUGGAGCAGGAUGAUAAAAAGCAGGCUUCUGGCGACAGAAGCAGGACUUUGGACGUUUCCACGGCAAGGAUGAAACGGCGAGCACCGGCCUGUGCAACCCAUUAUGGGGCUUAGUUAAAUGCUGAGGCGGAUGAUCGCUGCCUGUGCAGCACAAAGCAUCCGACAGAAGGUGGCUUACGCGGUCCCCA
rnacentral:RNase_P_RNA from 1 species